GGUUGAUCCUGCCAGUAGUCAUAUGCUUGUCUCAAAGAUUAAGCCAUGCAUGUCUAAGUAUAAGCACUUAUACUGUGAAACUGCAGAUGGCUCAUUAAAUCAGUUAUAGUUUAUUUGAUGAUUACUUACUACAUGGAUAACCGUAGUAAUUCUAGAGCUAAUACAUGCGUUAAGGCCCCAACUCACGUAGGGUUGUAUUUAUUAGAUAAAAAACCAACACUGCCCCUUAAAAGGCAGUUUACUGGUGAUUCAUAAUAACUGUUCGAAGCCCAUGCGCCAGUCGCGGGGCUAGG
rnacentral:rRNA from 1 species